GGAACAACAGGGAUUGCCCCAGUAACGGCGAGUGAAGCGGCAACAGCUCAAAUUUGAAAUCUGGCCCCUCGGGCCCGAGUUGUAAUUUGUAGAGGAUGCUUUUGGUGCGGUGCCGCCCGAGUUCCCUGGAACGGGACGCCAUAGAGGGUGAGAGCCCCGUCUGGCUGGCCACCAAGCCUCUGUAAAGCUCCUUCGACGAGUCGAGUAGUUUGGGAAUGCUGCUCUAAAUGGGAGGUAUAUGUCUUCUAAAGCUAAAUAUUGGCCAGAGACCGAUAGCGCACAAGUAGAGUGAUCGAAAGAUGAAAAGCACUUUGAAAAGAGGGUUAAAUAGUACGUGAAAUUGUUGAAAGGGAAGCGCUCAUGACCAGACUUGGGCUUGGCGAAUCAUCCAGCGUUCUCGCUGGUGCACUUUGCCUCGCCCAGGCCAGCAUCAGUUCGUCGCGGGGGAAAAAGGCUUCGGGAACGUGGCUCCUCCGGGAGUGUUAUAGCCCGUUGCAUAAUACCCUGCUUUGGACUGAGGUUCGCGCAUCUGCAAGGAUGCUGGCGUAAUGGUCAUCAGCGACCCGUCUUGAAACACGGACCAAGGAGUCGUCUUCGUAUGCGAGUGUUCGGGUGUCAAACCCCUACGCGUAAUGAAAGUGAACGCAGGUGAGAGCUUCGGCGCAUCAUCGACCGAUCCUGAUGUUCUCGGAUGGAUUU
rnacentral:rRNA from 1 species